rnacentral:rRNA from 1 species
GGUGGGGAUACCCGCUGAACUUAAGCAUAUCAAUAAGCGGAGGA